UACGUAGGGGGCAAGCGUUGUCCGGAAUCAUUGGGCGUAAAGAGCGUGUAGGCGGCCCGGUAAGUCCGCUGUGAAAGUCCAGGGCUCAACCCUGGGAUGCCGGUGGAUACUGUCGGGCUCGAGUCCGGAAGAGGAGUGUGGAAUUCCUGGUGUAGCGGUGAAAUGCGCAGAUAUCAGGAGGAACACCAAUGGCGAAGGCAGCACUCUGGGACGUGACUGACGCUGAGACGCGAAAGCGUAGGGGAGCGAAA
rnacentral:rRNA from 1 species